UACGUAGGUGGCGAGGGUUGUCCGGAUUUACUGGGCGUAAAGGGAGCGUAGGCGGACUUUUAAGUGAGAUGUGAAAUACUCGGGCUCAACUUGAGUGCUGCAUUUCAAACUGGAAGUCUAGAGUGCAGGAGAGGAGAAUGGAAUUCCUAGUGUAGCGGUGAAAUGCGUAGAGAUUAGGAAGAACACCAGUGGCGAAGGCGAUUCUCUGGACUGUAACUGACGCUGAGGCUCGAAAGCGUGGGGAGCAAACAGG
rnacentral:rRNA from 1 species